rfam:Cicer arietinum chromosome Ca2, whole genome shotgun sequence.
GGAGGAUGCAUCCAAAGGGAUCGCAUUGAUCCCAAAUCUAAUUAAUUAAAUUUUUAAUUAUCUUUUCAUUUCUCAUAAUAUGUGGGAUCAUGCUAUCCCUUUGGAUUCGUCCUU